AUAAAGACUAAAAUGCUCCAGGAGCGCGCGACUCAGCCCCGGAUAGCUGCGGCGGGACCGUCCGCCUCCUGGAGCUUUAAACCCGGGGAUCUUCAGAGAGACACUCCGGGGAUUUGCGCAGCGGAGGAUUUUGGCCUCGGUUUGACGAAGAGACCUCUGCGGACAAUUCAGCUCCUGGUGAAAAACUCCUGAAUGUCUGGAACUUAAUUGAUCAGAGAAAUAAGGUGUCUCUGGCUUCCAACCAAAAUUGCAGCUGUGGAACAAGUUCUCCCACAUUCGUGCCGCAUCUAUAAAAAGAAGAUGCAACCAGCUAACAAUCCAUCAUCGCUGGCGUCGCCCCUUUUGGUGCAAAGAUGUUAUAAUCUGUAAUGAACCAGAGGCCGUGAGAGGCAGAGCGCAGGUACCGAGAGAGACAAGACACACACACA